rnacentral:rRNA from 1 species
UACGUAGGAGGCAAGCGUUGUCCGGAUUUAUUGGGCGUAAAGAGCGUGUAGGCGGCCAUACAGGUCAGCUGUGAAAACUCGAGGCUCAACCUCGAGACGUCGGUUGAAACCGUCUGGCUAGAGUCCGGAAGAGGAGAGUGGAAUUCCUGGUGUAGCGGUGAAAUGCGCAGAUAUCAGGAAGAACACCUAUGGCGAAGGCAGCUCUCUGGGACGGUACUGACGCUGAGACGCGAAAGCGUGGGGAGCGAACAGG